GCUGUAGCUCGGCAGUAGAGCAUCUCCUUUGCAUGCAGAAGGUCCCAGCUUCAAACCUUGGCAUCUCCA